rnacentral:rRNA from 1 species
GAUGAACGCUAGCGGCAGGCCUAAUACAUGCAAGCCGAACGGCAAGAACUUUAGCAAUAGAGUUCCUAGAGUGGCGUAAGGGUGCGUAACACGUAUGCAAUCUGCCCUCAACAGGAGGAUAGCUCCCCGAAAGGGGAAUUAAGACUCCAUAAGAUCAUUUUAUGGCAUCAUGAGAUGAUUAAACUACCAGGGGUUGAGGAUGAGCAUGCGCAUGAUUAGUUAGUUGGCGGGGUAACGGCCCACCAAGACGAUGAUCAUUAGGGGAAC